UUCUGAUCUCUUUGGCUCCUGCUCUCCUUGCCUCCUCUCCCUUGCCCUCAAGCUCAAGCUUUCCAAAUGGACAUGGAAAAAGGUUUGCAGCUACCUGGGGUCCACAUUGGAUAAGGGGCUCCAGCAAAAUGGAGAUCCAGGCAAAAAGCCCAGAUCUCCAGAAUGACCAAGGAACUUACAGAGCCAGACUGGAUGAGAAGGCCUUCUAAGGAUCCCUGAUGUGAGCCACAUGAACAAGAAAGCCUGCCUUGCUGUUAGCCCCACUGCUAAGCUGCUGCUGGAAGAAAACUCAAUCUUCCAAAUGGACAUGGACAAUAGGUAGAACCCUGUCUGCAAUCCAAUAAACUAUUGGACUUUUAUCCUGCCUCUGAGUCUGUGAGUUCUGCAUUUGGGCUAGUAAUCCUGCCUGAUCAUGUCAACAUCCAUAUCUUCAG